UUCAAGCCAAGAGAAGAAAUAAAUUCAGAGUUGUCAAGUUGCUUCUGGGAGUUUUGUAUUUUCUGAUUCUGGCUGGACGCAUAGCAUGCUGUAAGGAUUUCAUUUUUACCUCUUUAUGCUUAAAACUUACAAUUUAUUUGCUAUUUUUUCAUUAACACUCAAUUACAUAUGUAUUGUGGUUUAUUUUUUUUUGUUGUUUUUGUAAAGUCCGUUUUAUUUGAGAUACAAAAGGAAAAAAAACUAAUAGUAACGCUCCUCCUACCAUGACUGCAAUGUCUAUCAACAGUCAGGAAACAACUUUUUUAUCUUGAUUCAUAUCAAAGUAAUUCUGUUUCAGAUCUCAGUGUGUCUAUGGAAAACAGCAGUAUGAAAAAUACUUUGAAUCAGUUGCAGACUGAACUUUCAGUCAUGAGAGCCAACAACACGAAUCUUCAAGAAGAAACAAAGGAGCUGAAAAAUGAAACUGAAGUCACGAGGGCCAACAACACGAAUCUUCAGGAAGAAACAAAGGAGCUGAAAAAGGAAA